UCCGAUGCGCUGCACACAGGAGCCCCUGACAGUGCCCGCGCCUGCUGCCUGCGAUCACUGCUCGCUUCGCUGGAUGUUUGCGCAGCAGAGGACACCUGCCUCCGCCGAUCACCGCACCGAAUCCCACCUCGUCGUUAACUUUUGCACCGUGUGACGUUUUUUUCACCUGUUCCAAGACUAUCGGUUGAAAACAAAACCUAUAUACCCUGGCGUUUGACUUCCAACUUGGAUGGAUAUUUGCGACAUGUUUAGAAAGUUCCCCCUGCGUCAAUGAGCAUGGGCGCAAACUUUAGAAGCUUUUUUAUAAUACAAGGCAGUUUUUUGGAAUGAAGGCAGGCGAGUCACCCGAAGCGUGAGUGGCGCGUGGAGAUCCGGGGGCUCUCCAGGUGCUGGGAAAGGAAAAGGAGACACGGAGGAAGUCGUGAUCUGUGCGGCGGAUUGCGCCACGGAGGACCGGGGGGGAACGGACCGAUGAGCCAUCAUGGGUCCAUUGAUGUGUGAUGGACGCCUGACACACCUCCUCCUCCCUCUCCUCCUCCUUUUGCGGGCUCCCCCACUGUUCAGCUUUGGUGAGCGCACCUGUCCAAAUAGCUGCCGAUGCGAGGGGAAAACGGUACAUUGUGAUUCAGCUGGCUUCUUAGAUGUUCCUGAAAACAUCUCAGUUGGCUGCCAAGGCCUCUCCCUGCGCUACAACGAUCUACACACCCUGCUGCCGUAUCAAUUUGCUCAUCUGGGCCAGCUUCUCUGGAUAUACUUGGACCAUAAUAAAAUUUCAGCUGUUGACAGUCGUGCGUUCCAGGGGGUUCGCAGGCUUAAAGAGCUGAUACUGAGCUCCAAUAGGAUCACAUCGCUGCACAACUCAACAUUCCAUGGAAUUCCCAAUCUUCGCAGUUUGGACUUGUCUUACAACAAAUUGGAAGUCCUUCAGCCAGGUCAGUUCCAUGGCUUACGAAAACUACAAAACCUACACCUGCGCUCAAACGGUCUCUCCAAUAUCCCAAUUCGAGCAUUCCUGGAGUGUCGAAGUUUGGAGUUUCUGGAUUUGGGUUACAAUCGUAUCAAGGCUCUUACUCGCACUACAUUUUUGGGGCUUCAGAAGCUAAUGGAGUUGCAUCUGGAGCACAACCAGUUCUCACGGAUCAACUUUUUUCUGUUUCCACGCUUGGCCAAUCUGAGAUCACUCUUCCUGCAGUGGAACCGCAUUAAGGUGGUCAACCAGGGCCUUCCAUGGACUUGGUAUACACUGCAGAAACUCGAUCUGUCCGGAAAUGAAAUCCAGAUCCUGGACCCAGCUGUGUUUCACUGCUUGCCCAACCUUCAAGUCCUCAACCUGGAAUCCAACAAACUGUCCAAUGUGUCUCAGGAGGCUGUGUCAGCAUGGAUAUCCCUGACCUCCAUGAGCCUUGCCGGGAACAUGUGGGAUUGUGGAACUGGGAUAUGCCCGCUUGUGGCUUGGUUGAGAAGUUUUCGGGGUAGCAAAGACACCACUAUGAUAUGCAGCAGCCCUAAGUAUCUCCAGGGAGAAAAAAUUAUGGAAGCCACAAGGAACCAUGGAAUUUGUGAGGAAACUGAUUACGUUCUGACAGAAACACCCUCACCAAUGUCAGAACUCAUUUCUGAAGCAACAGGAGAACCAACCUUUGCCCCCACUAGCGCCUCUCCACCAAUGCCAAUAGCAAGCACCUUUGGUCCUGUCCCACCCUACAGACCUCGACCUAUUCCUCAUCCUACCUUUCCAGGGCAUAUGAGCAAAGACCCAAUAGACUCAGUUGCCCCCACCCGACCCACGCUCAUACCACCUCCAGAGCUGGAACACAUGACUCUUCACAAAGUGGUGGUGGGCAGCGUGGCACUCUUCUUCACUAUGUCCCUAAUCUUGACAAUUAUCUAUGUGUUUUGGCGGCGAUAUCCAGCUGCAACCAGGUUGCUGCCGCAGCGAUCCAUGGUGGGGCGGAAGCGUCGUAAAAAGAGUCCAGAGCCUGAGCAGAACCUGAGCUCCCAGCUCCAAGAGUAUUACAUGAGCUACAACCCUGCUGCCACUCCAGAGGCAUUGGAGGUGCUAAGCAAUGGCACUGGUUCCUGCACAUGCACAAUUUCUGGCUCCAGGGAGUGUGAGGUAUGAUUCAUCGCAUCAGCCAAAAAUAACAAAUCUAAAUCAAAAUGCAAAGGCUCAACAGAGAGAAUGAGUAUACGUGCCCACGCCCGCUACCUGGUGCCUGGCUGGGAGAUGUGCCUACGAUCCAUUAACCGCUAAAAGGAACUGCUUUGAAGGAAAAAGGAAAGAGACAUAUGCAGAGAAUCUGGAUCCUACUCACAUUAUUCAAAGGAUACAUUUAAACGGUCCUCCACGCUAACAAGGGCAACCACUGACAAAGACAAAGAGGAGAUAAAACGGUCUUUUCCUUAAGAUUUUACAUUGUCUUAUUUGUUUCGCUCAUAGGCCCAUCAUGCUCCAUCACUAAAUGAAUAAAUGGUUGUGGAAAUGCAGUCCUAUGGUAAAUAGCGGAGCCUUGGAGGAAGACUCAUGAGCGCUGAUGGAUGGUUAUAUCCAACACGAGAGCUUAUUGUAUAGACUCUAAUAGCCUAUUGUCUCCCUGAGGACAACAUGGCAUUGUUUUAAACCAAGGAAAGAGACUGUACAAAUUCAAGAGGCUUUAAAAAAAAUUGUAAAACCCAGCAAGAGUUUUUGACUAAAAAUGCAUUGAGCAGCUGGAGCUGAGCACUCUGCUAAUGCAGUUAUGUAUACUUUAAAGUGUGUUUCCAUACUUUGACUUCCCCACGUUAUCACCUUUCAACCUUUUUUUUUUCGUAAGAAAGCCCAAUUAAAGGCGAGGAUGGUGUAAAUGUGCCUCACUGGAGCAGAAACAUUAUUGAAAAGGAGCUUCGGUGCACCUGUCAGGAAAGAGGACGCUGCUCCAUCAGGUGGAAAUCGAGCAGCAGCUGGAAGAUUGCUUUCGAAGCCUGAGAGGAAAAGCAAACUAUCCCCCAGCCACCUUUGGUGAAGUCUUUGUGGUUUGUUUGCUUUUUUUUAAAGAACAUUUUUCUAAGUUGUUUCUAAUUGCAAUCAAACCUUGACUAUAUCGUUUGAUUUGGAAGACCUGAGGGGUCAAUCAGAAGCAAGGGGAAAGUAAAAAGCCCCUAUCAAGGGUAUACAAUGUAAUUUUCUGCAAUUAUAAUGUUGUUAAUGUUGUACUUUAUGAAUAUGUGUUUCUGCUAUUUUCAACACCAAAUACCAAAGAGCCAAAUGGAGCACUUUUGGCUCUCCCAAUUGGGUCGUAACAGAUCCAGAAUUUGAUCCACGAAAAAUCUAAAAGAAGCCUCAACUCGCAUCAUGUCCAGUAAUGCUCCAUUACCCGAUUGGCUUUUUUUUAUUUUCUACGUGUGUAAUUUGUACGUCUUUGUGAACAAAGGAUCUUGCAACCACGGUCACUUGGAUGAUCUUGUCUUGAAAGAUUAUUUUGGCACUGCUUGCAUUUUACGUCUUGCGUUGAAAACAUGCUUCACUUUCCUUUGAAUAACCCCCUCAAAGAGAAUGCAGAUGUAGCUGCGCGGCUCCGCGUGUGCUUGUGUUCCAUCCAUUAUGAGUUCUUGAUUACAUUUGAACCGCGUUGUGAAUUGUUUCAACCCUCAGACAUCUUUCUACACUGGAAAAUGAUAAUUUUCUAUUGUAAAUGUCUGCCCCCCCACCCGUUGUUGAUAUUUAGUAAGCUGCUGUGUUCUUGGUUCACUUACAACAGUAUGUUUUUUAAUGAAAAUAACGACUUUGUUGGUGAGCAAUAUGAAUUGAUUAAAAAUGUUCAUUAAUCAUU